GGACCCGCACAAGCGGUGGAGCAUGUGGUUUAAUUCGAAGCAACGCGAAGAACCUUACCAACUCUUGACAUCCCCCUGACCGGUACAGAGAUGUACCUUCCCCUUCGGGGGCAGGGGUGACAGGUGGUGCAUGGUUGUCGUCAGCUCGUGUCGUGAGAUGUUGGUUAAGUCCCGCAACGAGCGCAACCCUUGUCCUUAGUUGCCAGCAUUUAGUUGGGCACUCUAGGGAGACUGCCGGUGACAAACCGGAGGAAGGUGGGGAUGACGUCAAAUCAUCAUGGCCCUUACGGCCUGGGCUACACACGUGCUACAAUGGCUAGGACAGACGGCCGCAAACCCGCGAGGGGGAG
rnacentral:rRNA from 1 species